rnacentral:tRNA from 1 species
AAAAAACUAGUUAAUAUAUAACAUUAGAAUGUCAAUCUAAAAUAACUAAAAGUGUUUUUUA